UGUCCCAGUUCGGACUGGAGCUGCAACCCGACUCCACGAAGUUGGAUUCGCUAGUAAUCGCGCAUCAGCCAUGGCGCGGUGAAUACGUUCCCGGGCCUUGUACACACCGCCCGUCAAGCCAUGGGAGCCGGGGGCGCCUGAAGUCCGGGACCGCGAGGACCGGCCUAGGGCGAAACUGGUAACUGGGGCUAAGUCGUAACAAGGUAGC
rnacentral:rRNA from 1 species